rnacentral:rRNA from 1 species
CCCUUAGAUGUUCUGGGCCGCACGCGCGCUACAAUGGCAAACUCAGCGAGUCUCCUUUACCGACAGGUAUAGGAAAUCUUUUCAGUGUUUGCCGUGAUGGGGCUAGACCCUUGUAAUUAUUGGUCUCCAACGAGGAAUUCCUAGUAAACGCAGGUCAUUAACCUGCAUUGAUUACGUCCCUGCCCUUUGUACACACCGCCCGUCGCACCUACCGAUUGAAUGGUCCGGUGAAGUCUCCGGACUGAGUACUUUUAGUACUUGGGAAGUUGACUAAACCUUACUAUUGAGAGGAAGGUGAAGUCGUAACA